GGAAAAACAAUAUUGAGUUCUUAAAAUUAAAUAAGAUGAUAUUUAAUGCUCUAACGCUCACACCGGAUAUGAAUCAAACUGUGUCACAAUGUUUUUGGAAUAGAUUUAAAUUAAAUAAGUAAAACUUACAUUAGUUAAAUUACAGAAUUUAGCAUUGAUUGUGCUCGUUCCUUUUCUAUUCUUAUGCGUUGACCUAGUUUUGCCUUACUUAUCUCUUCAGUUCCAUUUGACAAAUUCGAUUCCAAUGACUUUGUUUGAGAAGUUGUAUCACUGCCAUAGAGGUAACAUUAUAAGCAUCAAUAUUUUAUAUUAUAAAUAAUAAAAAUUAUUGUUCAUGUAAUUACAUAAAAUUAAAAAACUUACAUAGGUUCAAUUAUUGAAUUUAGCAUCGAUUGUGCUCAUUCUCUUUCCCUUCUUAAAUGUUGUCCUUGUUUUGCCUUACUUAUCUCUUCACUGUAGGUUGAAGAAGUUUUAACAUUUUUGACAGGUAAUUCUUUCUUUGCCAUGACUGUGUUCCAGGUACUAAACAAAACAUAAUGAACAUUAUAAGAAAUAGAAGAUAUUGGUGAGAGAAUCUGUGUUUGGUUACCUUCAAAAGUCCCAUUAGGAUCUAGUUUAUACCAUGCUAAAAUGCCAUCGUUGAGAAUACUCAAGUAGAUAAAUAACUCUUUCCCUCCAUUAAAUACUUUGUCCUCGUCCUCGUCUUCUUCUUUAAUGAAAGAUGUUGUGAUAGUUGAGUUGUUUAUCUUCUUUCGUCGAAUAAUUAAAAUUUCCUUGUUAAUUUUCUUAUUAGAACAAGCUCGUAGAUCCAAAUUCUUCACCAUCGUAACCCAAUGUUCUUAGGGUCUGACUCUGUUAUUCUGCGGAUAGUACAACUUAUAUAUAUACACAAGGAUGCGCUUGGAAAUUAUAUUCUUUGUAGCAUCGGAUUUGGACUUCGGUAUCCAACUGUCCAAGCAUAUGGUUUCCUAUAUGACUUCAUAGAACUACAUUCUUUCCAAACACGAUUUCCAGAUGAAAGUAUCACAAACAAAAGCCUUUGAUCUUGCAUAACGUUUUACAUCAUGAUGUUUAUCAAGAUAUAAUAACCACCAAUGAUAUAUAACUUUGAAUCAUAACCAAUAUCGCGAUUAUAAUUGGGAAGAAUAUUAUUAGGUAUAGAAUAUAUUAGUGAGAGAUUCUAUGUUUUGUUUCCUGGUGAAGAAGAAGUUCUAUUAAGGUCAGGGGCGGCUCUUGGGGGAUGCAGUCGCACUUGCAUCCGGCCCCAAUAUUACAAGAACCCCCAAGAUCUAACCAAGAACCUUGGUUCAAUACCUCUUUCACUCGCGCAACUCUUUGUUGAAUGUUACCUGAGAACUCUCUCUACUCUCCAACUCUUAGCUUAUAAAAAGACAAUAUUAAUUAUUUUGUCAAUUUUCUCCAUCUAUGGUUUUUAUCACACAACUAUGUUUGGGUUUGCAAUGUCAGAGGAAAUUUGGUACUACAUCCAAGUUUUCUCAAGUGACAUCCUUUUUACACUAAAGUACUAAACAUAUAAGUGGUUUAUCUGUGGAGUGUGGAUUUCACGGUGCAACAGCAAAAUUUACUUUGAUGACAGUAAGCAUAAUAUAUAAGAUAACCAUCACCCAUCCAGUGUAGCAUCCUCUGGGCAAAACGUUAAGUUCACU
rnacentral:lncRNA from 1 species